UUAUGUUUCAAAAAUCGUAUUUAUUCUGAAAGAAGAAUAUCCAAAUAUUCAAAAGAUUCAUUAUUUCACUGAUGGUGCAGGCAGCCAGUAUAAAAAUAGGUUUAAUUUGAAAAACCUUUGCUUUCAUGAAAAAGACUUCGGACUGAAAGCAGAUUGGCAUUUUUUUGGCACUGCACAUGGAAAAAGUGCAUGUGACGGAGUAGGUGGUACAGUGAAAAGAGUAAUUAACAACCUGUCCCUCUAAAGGCCAAUUGGAAAUCAAAUUUUGACAUCAAAGGAUAUGUUUUUAGUUGCUAAAGAAAGUUUUAAAAACAUCAGAUUUCUCUAUAUUUCUGAAAACGAAACAGCUG
rnacentral:lncRNA from 1 species